rnacentral:lncRNA from 1 species
UUAAAAAAAAAGAAAAGAAAUAAAGAGGAAUUUGAAAAUUUACUAAAUAGAAUAUUUAUUAAAAAAAAUUAGGUUGUCGACUAUGAUUGGAGAAGGGAUUUGAAAAAAAACUUACUUGUGCCAUGCCUAUGGGGAGUAAAAUAGCUGAUGAUGAUAACGAUGGAAAUAUUAUUUCAUAAAAACUCUUAAGCGAAAAUUAGAAAAAAGAAAGGAGUAAAAAAGCAACUAAUGUUUUAUUGUUUCAUUGUUUCACUAGGAUGAAAAUUUUUAGAGACCCUUCAUAUGUAAAUUCUAUUAAAAUUGAUCCUUCAAUUUUAAAAGUUUAGAUCUUUUUUAUUUACUAUCAGAUAUUUCAUAGGGUCCGGAUCCGGGUCCGGAUUUGAAAACUAUUCCGGACCCUAUCUAUUUAAAAGUUGGAUUCCGGUCAGGUCCAAAUCGAGUAUGGGUAUAAAAUAUCCAAACUCAUACCCGAAACUUUAAUGGGUAAUUUUUUUUACCCGUAUACUAUCCAUUUUUUAUCGGAUCCGGUUCAGGUCCGGAUAGGGUUCGGGUCAGGUACGGUAUAUCGGAUAUUUUGGACAGCUUUAGAUAAAACAUUGGAUUAAUUAAUUG